CGAGGCAGUUUUAAGCUUGUAGUGAUAGCAAGUGAGAGUUCGUAUUGUCACUUCUUUUGGCCAUACUAAGGUCCCUCUGUAGUGAGAACUGAUUGUUUCUACGCCACUGAUUUGCAAUUAUAGUGUGUCCUAUGGUGUCUUUGAGGAGUACACACAGCGAGACAUUAAUCGGUCGUGAUCUUGUUGUCACGGAGGACCUGUGGUGGGCGGGCGAGCGCGUGGUCAUCCCUUCAUAUGGUGGUUCAAGUUUUGGUGUAUAGGACGAAAGCUAAGAUGUGAUACGAGAAUAAUUUUCUACGUAAAGGACAGGUUCUGUUGCUUUGGACUCUUCGUUAUCGCGUUGGAUUCCAAUGGAUAACCUCGCCUUUGAACUUCAAGUGGGUGAUGAAUCAGACGGACUGCCUCCCCCUCCCCCUGACCCUUCCCCCCUCCCCGCAGCGCCGUCCGUGACAAGUCCAGUAGUGACAAUCACCCCGGGACAAUGCCCAGGGUGUAGGGUCGGUCGGUUACAAAAGGAAUACACCAGAACCGGGAUCGCGCUGGCAUUUGGCUGCUUCCCCUGUGGCAUUGCCUGUUGCCACUUCAUGAGGAAGAGCCGCUGUAAUGUGUGCAAAGCUCUCUUUUAAAUGCAACCCUUUGCAAUGAGAAUCCGCCUGCCAAUUGUGGUAAAAUUGAGGGGGUUGGGGUAAAAAAACAAACAAAAAAAAACCAGGUAAAUCUGUGUAUUUGUGCGUUUGUUUUACAUAGAUUAUUUUGGAAUUCUCAAUAGACUUGUAAGAUUAUAUAUUAAAAUAGUUUUCUAAUUA